AAACCAAAAAGCCUCAUUCACUGUCUCGAAACAGAUAGUUCCUAAGUAUAAUUCGUUUGCUUUACCAGGUCAGGUUUAAGAUAUAGUAGUAGUGAUAUAUUAUUGUGUUGGUAGCCUGUAAGCAUGGUGAGGGUGAAGUAAUCGGCCAGCCAUAAAUUGGAGAUAGAACAAUUAUUUAAUUUCAUUCUAUGCACAAAGAACCUUUAUAAUUUCAAACAUAAAACUUGAAAGGAAAAUAAUCCCACUCUCCUCUCUUUUAACACAAUGCACAUUAAACUUAAUGAAAAGAAGUUUUUCAUUUUGAAAAGAGAAUCAUUUGAGAAAUGAGAAUGUCAUAAGAAAAGAAAAUGAAAAUUGGAAUCUAAACUCCAAUGAAUGUCUUCUCUGGUUGACUCAAUGUCAUUCAUUGAAUAAUCUUUGUGAAAGCCAAUUUUCCUUGAAAUAAAUUGUGAGAUCAUAGUCUGGGAACAAAGAAGAAAUGAAAAGUGGGGAAGAUGUACAACAAUUACCACUCCCUAGUUUUCCCAACUGCUAUGUUCACAGUGGUUAGCAAACUACUACAAAGAAAGGAAAACCAUGACACAGGCAACACUUUACAGCCUCUCUUUGGCAUAUCUGAAUUGCCAGUAUCACUACUCUUGCACCUUGGGUCCAUUAUUAAGUAAAGUAAGGAUUACUGGAACACAAGCACUGCGAUACCAGGACAGUCAUCUGACAACCGAGAUUCCUACUAACGGGCAGGUAGCAUACACAGUGUGGAUACAGACAAACGGAUGAUUCACGUCCCAGGAGGGACGGAGCAAGACAGCACAAGAUUUCAUCAUGCUACUCAGAAUGGCACUUAAUUUAAAAUUUAUGAAUUGUUUAUUUCUGUAAUUUUCCACUUAAUAUUUUCUGACCACGGUUGACCACAGGUACUGAAGCAACGGAAAGCAAAGCUGCCAGUAAGGGGGCACUCCUGUAUUGUGGAUUUCAGAAAAAGAAUUAAAUUUUAAAUUAUUAUUUUUAAGGACAUUUUUGUUUGUUUUGUUCUAUUUAUUAAAUAUUGUUAAA